AAAUCCUACGGGACGCAGCAGUGGGGAAUAUUGCACAAUGGGCGAAAGCCUGAUGCAGCAACGCCGCGUGAAGGAAGAAGGGUUUCGGCUCGUAAACUUCUAUCAACAGGGACGAAAGAAAUGACGGUACCUGAAUAAGAAGCCACGGCUAACUACGUGCCAGCAGCCGCGGGAAUACGUAGGGGGCAAGCGUUAUUCGGAAUUACUGGGGGGAAAGGGGGAGUAGGCGGCAUGGUAAGCCAGAAGUGAAAGCCUUGGGCUUAACCCGAGGAUUGCAUUUGGAACUAUCAAGCUAGAGUACAGGA
rnacentral:rRNA from 1 species